rnacentral:lncRNA from 1 species
UCCGGGGAUAUGGCAACCUUCGGGAACCAUCGGACCAGGUCGUUCACCUCUUCCAUCAUUGGCUGCAGCGAGAUCCACAUUGUUCGAUCUUACACUGCUCUUUGCCAGCUCGAUCCCAGCCGAUCGUCCGUCUUUGAGGCUGUAUAGCAAUCAUCUAUCUUGCUUGACAUCCCCUCCGGUGCACACAGUAUGCUCCGACCCAAUCGAUUGCCGACAAUCCCAUGAAUCAGGAUUGAAGCACAAAUCUCAAAGAACACUAGAAAAA